GAGAUUAUUGGUACAGACCAGUGAUGUCAGCAAUGAGCUUGAUAGCGUGACAAAGUGGAAGUGGUGAAAAGCAAAUACUAGCCAGUGAACACUCAGGUAGUAGACAGAUGUAUAGUUACAGAUCUUCCUUAUUACGCAUAAGCUUCAUUAAUACUCAAUGCAAAUAACUUCUUCCAUCAUUCUCGCCGCACAACUGAAAAACACAAGAGCGUAUCACCCAGGUGCCAGUGAGGAAUUCACAGGCAACAAACUGCAAAAGAGACAUAUUUUAAAUGUGAAAAUGAUUUCGAUCUACGUGAUCACAGUAGCUUUGGCAGUGACUGCUGUGGGACAAAGGUCUUCAGAAUGCAAUCUAACUGAACCUGGACCCCAGACGUGUUUUGGAGUUUUAGGAGAACCACUCGUUUUUUACAUACCUACUAAACCACAUGUGAAGACAAGCUUGAAAAAGAGUACAGAAAAAUUUUUAACCUUAAUAAGUGAUACAUUAAUUAGUCUCAAUGAAAAAUACAAGAAUCGUACUAUAUUUUUCCCAAAUGGUACAUUGAAGCUCGAAAAAGCAACAAAACAUGACUCUGGAGAGUACAGCAUGGAAACACACAGUUCUACUGACGGUGUGUUAUUGCACACAGUUAACAUCCAUCUACAUAUACUAGCUCCUGUGUCAGAACCAGCUGUAUCUCAGGUGUGUUUGUCACGCAAACAGAUGACAGUCAGCUGCUCCUCUGAAGGAGAUGAAGUAGAGUUCACCUUGUUUUUGGAUGAUAACUUGUUGAUACAGCCUACAGCCAACAGUACAGAAAACAACAGCGUUUCAAAUGUUACCAUCAACUUACCUGGUCAGCUGAUGGGAAACCUGACAUGUGUUGCUCAAAACAUUGUCAGCAGAGAACAAACAAUCAUCCACCUUACAAGCUGUGCAGGUACAAAUUCUCCAGUUUCUGUGGUGAUUGUGGUUGUACUAACAAGUGUUGCCGCUCUACUUCUCACUUUACUUUUUACUGUUAAUAAAGAUGUUGCUGUAAAUAACAUUUUUUACUCCAAAAUUGUAUAUGAAGAAAACAUCACUCACACAAAGGCCACAGCCAGAUGAGGGAGUCAGUCUGAGGGCUUUCUUAUUUGGAGGAAACAGUGCGAACCACCACGCCACCAUGCUGCGUCUGCCCAUACAUUAUUACUUAUUUACAAGUCUGCACAUUUAUAAUUUUUAUUCUUUUAAUAAUGUUUUACAAUUUUGCUUGGUAGUGUAUGUUUUGAUGUGUAUGAUAAAAUAUAGUUCAUAUGAGAUAUCCUUGGAUAUUAAAACAAGGCUCUGGUCAGCAGUGUUGGUGCUUUGCUUACAUUGUGUUUUGUUUAGGAAAUGUGAGCCGUGCCUCAAGCAUCACAGCUACUCUUCACAAUGUGACCUUAGAAACCACAAACUAUAUCCUGUUUUCACUGAGCUGCUAAACCACCACUGCUGUAGCUGCACAGAGGGAAAGAACAGUGCUCGAAAAGCUCCCGGCCCAGACGGUGUGUCUCCUGCCACCCUCAGACACUGUGCAAACGAGCUGGCCCCAGUGUUUUCUGGCAUUUUCAACUCCUCACUGCAGGCAUGUCAUGUGCCUGCCUGCUUCAAGUCCUCUACCAUAAUCCCUGUCCCCAAGAAACCUAGGAUCACUGGACUAAAUGACUACAGACCCGUGGCUCUGACAUCUGUGGUCAUGAAGUCUUUUGAGCGCCUGGUUCUCUCCUAUCUCAAGACCCUCACGGCCCCCCUCCUGGACCCCCUGCGGUUUGCAUACAGAGCCAACAGGUCUGUAGAUGACGCCAUCAACAUGGCCCUACACUUCAUCCUGCAGCAUCUGGACCCUUCUCACCCUGGACACAGUCUGUUUGACCUGCUCCCCUCAGGCAGGAGGCUCCGGUCCAUUCGCACCAGAACCGCUCGCCAUAAGAACAGUUUCUUCCCCUCUGCUGUUGGACACACGAACAAUAACCGUAUGACUGUUCCCACCACUAACACAUGACCCUACGCUGUGUUCACUGCAUCAUUCCAUGUUUGGCACUGAUCACCACCUGCACUCAUGUAUAUAUCAUGUAUAUAUCUAUCUAUCUACUUAGCACUUUUAAUUCUUAUUCUCAUUUUUAUUUUCAUGUCUAUUUAAGCUUAAUUUAUAACAGUAUGUUUGCACUGAAGCACCGCAGCAAUUUCCUAAUGUUGUAAACCCGCUCAACAUUUGGCAAUAAAACCCUUUCUGAUUCUGAUUCUGAGACAAGACGAAGCUUGAUUUGCAUUUAAUGCAGUGAUCAGCACUGACCACAUGAUGGGGCCAAAAGCAUUUCUAUUAACUAACAGUGUGAAGGUUUCAUAUUAGAUACAAACAGUAAUGAUAAACUAACAGUGUG
ensembl:lncRNA